AGCAGUAGCCGCGGUAAUACAGAGGGUGCGAGCGUUAAUCGGAUUUACUGGGCGUAAAGCGUGCGUAGGCGGCUUCUUAAGUCGGAUGUGAAAUCCCUGAGCUUAACUUAGGAAUUGCAUUCGAUACUGGGAAGCUAGAGUAUGGGAGAGGAUGGUAGAAUUCCAGGUGUAGCGGUGAAAUGCGUAGAGAUCUGGAGGAAUACCGAUGGCGAAGGCAGCCAUCUGGCCUAAUACUGACGCUGAGGUACGAAAGCAUGGGGAGCAAACAGGAUUAGAUACCCCCGUAGUCCCUGUCUCUAUACA
rnacentral:rRNA from 1 species